rnacentral:rRNA from 1 species
AAAAAAGCAAUUAAGGGCACAUGGCGGAUGCCUUGGCUCUCGGAGGCGAUGAAGGACGUGAUAAGCUGCGAUAAGCCGCGGGUAGGUGCAAAUGACCUUUGAUCCGCGGAUUUCCGAAUGGGACAACCCGCCACCUUGAAGGGGUGGCAUCUGCCUAUGGCAGAGGCUAACGCAGGGAACUGAAACAUCUUAGUACCUGCAGGAAAAGAAAAUAAACAAUGAUUCCCCCAGUAGUGGCGAGCGACCGGGGAAUAGCCCAAACCAUGGGUGUUACGGCAUCCAUGGGGUUGUAGGACCACGUCGUGGCACGCGUGACGGUGAGUGGAACUGCCUGGAAAGGCAGGUCAUAGAGGGUGAUAACCCCGUACACGAAGCCGUUUCCAGCCUAGUGGUAUCCUGAGUAGCGCGGGGCACGAGGAAUCCUGCGUGAAUCUGCCGGGACCAUCCGGUAAGGCUAAAUACUCCCGAGAGACCGAUAGUGGACCAGUACCGUGAGGGAAAGGUGAAAAGC